rnacentral:sRNA from 1 species
AGUAAAAGUUGUAACAAGGUUUUCCGUAGGUGAACCUGCGGAAGGAUCAUUAUCGAGAGACGGGGCCCAUCGGCCCCCCUCUUCACCCGUGACUUCCUACUCUUUGUUGCUUUGGCGGGCCGCUCGAGGUGACUCAGCGCCGGCCGUUGGGGAGGCCAUACCCUCCCGGCGGGCGAGUGCCGCCAGAGACGCGAAAAACUCUUUCAGUGGUGUCCGAGUGACAAAUGGAAAUGGAUAAAAAAAAACUUUCAACAACGGAUCUCUUGGUUCUGGCAUCGAUGAAGAACGCAGCGAAAUGCGAUAAGUAAUGCGAAUUGCAGAAUUCAGUGAAUCAUCGAAUCUUUGAACGCACAUUGCGCCCUCUGGCACUCCGGAGGGCAUGCCUGUCCGAGCGUCAUUUUCGUCCUCAAGCAAUGGCUUGGUAUUGGGGUGUCACCCGCACCACCCGGGUGUACUCGGAAAUCAGGGGCUGUCCAGCCAGACUCCGGGCGCAGCAAGGUUUUCAUCCCCGCCACGGAUCGCUCUCGCUGCACUCAGCCCACGAAUGCCCACACAUGGAGGCUCAGAGAACGGGGCUUCUCUUUGAAUGGACCUCGGAUCAGGUAGGAAUACCCGCUGAACUUAAGCAUAUCAAUAAGCGGAGGAAAAGAAACCAACAGGGAUUGGCCUC